GUCUAUAGCCAUACUACCCUGAACGUGCCUGAUCUUGUCUGAUCUCGGAAGCCAUGCAGGGUCAGGCCUGGUUAGUACUUGGAUAGGAUACCACCUGGGAAUAAUGGGUGCUGUUGGCU
ensembl:rRNA 5S_rRNA 5S ribosomal RNA